GGAAUAUUGGUCAAUGGGCGGAAGCCUGAACCAGCCAUGCCGCGUGCAGGAUGACUGCCCUAUGGGUUGUAAACUGCAUUUGUCCAGGAAUAAACCUCUUUACGUGUAGAGAGCUUAAUGUACUGUAAGAAUAAGGAUCGGCUAACUCCGUGCCAGCAGCCGCGGUAAUACGGAGGAUCCGAGCGUUAUCCGGAUUUAUUGGGUUUAAAGGGUGCGUAGGCGGCCCAUUAAGUCAGGGGUGAAAUACGGUGGCUCAACCAUCGCAGUGCCUUUGAUACUGAUGGGCUUGAAUCCAUUUGAAGUGAGCGGAAUAAGACAAGUAGCGGUGAAAUGCAUAGAUAUGUCUUAGAGCUCCGAUUGCGAAGGCAGCUCACUAAGCUGGUAUUGACGCUGAUGCACGAAAGCGUGGGGAUC
rnacentral:rRNA from 1 species